rnacentral:rRNA from 1 species
UAUAUCAGUCAUGCAUAGCAUAUCAAUAAGCGGAGGAAAAGAAACUAACAAGGAUUCCCUUAGUAACGGCGAGUGAAGCGGGAAGAGCUCAAAUUUGAAAUCUUCAAGGUUUUACCUUGACGAAUUGUAGUUUAAAGAAGUGUUUUCUGUUGAAGUUUUGGUAAAAGUUCUUUGGAAUAGGACAUCAUAGAGGGUGAGAAUCCCGUAUUUGACCAUUACUUUCAGCUUUGUGAUACACUUUCAAAGAGUCGGAUUGUUUGGGAAUGCAGUCCAAAAUGGGUGGUAAAUUUCAUCUAAAGCUAAAUAUUGGCGAGAGACCGAUAGCGAACAAGUACCGUGAGGGAAAGAUGAAAAGAACUUUGAAAAGAGAGUUAAACAGUACGUGAAAUUGUCAAAAGGGAAGCGUUUGACACCAGUGUUGUUUUCUCGAAAAUCAAUUAAAAAGAGUUGGAUUUUGUGUUGUAUUGACUUUAUCAGCUUUCUUCACUCUUUUCCAGCUUUUUUUAAUGCACUUUUCGUUUAACAAGUCAACAUCAGUUUCUUUUGUUGUAAAAAGGUCAUUGGAAGGUGGCUUUCUCUUCGGAGAAAGUGUUUAUAGCCUUUGACUCAUGCAAUCGGAGAGACUGAGGUCUGCAGCGUAGAUCCUUCGGGGUUAGAUACAUUUGUGCUAAGUUAUAGCUUUUCAUAGACAACUUGUUGACUAUGUUUAGUCUUGUAGCUUACUCGCUUAUGCUAUUUUACCUACGCUUAGGAUGUUGAACUCUAUCACACACAG